AACGAACGCUGGCGGCAUGCCUAACACAUGCAAGUCGAACGAGACCUUCGGGUCUAGUGGCGCACGGGUACGUAACGCGUGGGAACCUGCCUUUAGGUUCGGAAUAACUCAGAGAAAUUUGAGCUAAUACCGGAUGAUGUCUUCGGACCAAAGAUUUAUCGCCUUUAGAUGGGCCCGCGUUGGAUUAGCUAGUUGGUGGGGUAAAGGCCUACCAAGGCGACGAUCCAUAGCUGGUCUGAGAGGAUGAUCAGCCACACUGGGACUGAGACACGGCCCAGACUCCUACGGGAGGCAGCAGUGGGGAAUAUUGGACAAUGGGCGAAAGCCUGAUCCAGCAAUGCCGCGUGAGUGAUGAAGGCCUUAGGGUUGUAAAGCUCUUUUACCCGAGAUGAUAAUGACAGUAUCGGGAGAAUAAGCUCCGGCUAACUCCGUG
rnacentral:rRNA from 1 species